rfam:Glycine max cultivar Williams 82 chromosome 6, whole genome shotgun sequence.
AGUGCAAUGAUGAGACGAAACACACAAGUGUGUUUGGGUAGUGGACGUUGCCUUAUGGUUUCGCCGUGAGCUCACAUUUUUAACGACUUCUCCUUCCACUGAGCACU